UCAGGCAUGUGUGAGAGAUGGUGUCGUUUGAGAGGAAACCUCCUCUUCAUCAUGAAGAAACCUCAACAGAGAUCUGCGUUAGAGGAGGUGCUGGUUCUGGAGAGAUGUCAUGUUCUGGAGAGCACAGACAACAACAAUGGAUUACUUAUUAGGUUUGACAGUGGAGAGCCAGGUGUGUAUGUAGAGUGUGUGAAUUCAGGUGAGGUGAACUCCUGGCUGGUGGCUCUGAGAGAAGCUAACUCUGAGGGGUUAACCAACCGGAUCAGACACCUCCGGACACAACUCAUGGAUACAGCCGGGAAUAACGCUGUAGAGACCACUGUAGUUGAUGCUGUGUGUCCUGCUAAACAGUCACCAUUGGAGUUCA